UGUUCUGUGUAUGGCACUGGUAGAAUUCACUGUGAACAGUCUCAGUCAGUGAAUUACCGAAGGGCCAUAAACAGAGCAGA
rnacentral:ncRNA from 2 species